AAUAGUUUCGUACCACAAAAUGUGGCACUCUUCAGAUAAAUUGACCUAAUUGUCAUUAGGUCAAUUUAUCUGAAGAGUGCCACAUUUUUGUGGUACGAAACUAUU
rnacentral:miRNA from 1 species